CUAUUCCAGCGCCGCUCUGCUCGCCUUUCUUCUCUACCUCGCAUGGCCGAAAGCAAUGGCUCCUCAAGCCAGAUAAAAUCCGACCGGCCACCAUAUUUUGGUGGCUACUCCUCACUCCGUUCACUGCCAACGACAACCCGAGGGGCCAAGCGACUCCCUAAUCGACCUAAACCGCUCGAAACGAUUCUCCUAGCCUCUCAUCUUCUCGACAGAAUAACCCCCAAACCCAUGGACGCCAUUUUCUAACCGUAGAUCGGUGAAGCUCCACCUCUAGACCACCAUCCACGACAAUGGAUCAAACCAAAAGCCGCUCCUAAAACGAACCUGACCGAUCACACCUUCACUCCCGACAAUAGCCCCGACGCUCGGCCAAGAGUAUGAAUGGAACCAACAAGACAUUUUUUCCGUUCGAACUGCCCAGGACAUUAAAACUCAUUGGAUCAGCCAUCGAAAUGAGAAUGAAGAUCAACAGCAGGAAAAACAACAAAAAAGGGGUUUUAAGGCUACCCCACUCCUACAUAUAUAUAUACAUAUAUGUAUGGUGUAUUAUGCGAGGCAAAGGCAGAAGGGAUGGGUACAUAUAUCUCUAAGUGAAGAGAAGACAAUGAACAAGCGUGGAGCAUUUUUGGUGCACCCAAUGUGGCCAACUCAUUUAAUAAUAGAUGCAACCCCUCUAGAUCUUCCGAAUCUCUCCCUCUAGUUUUCUUUUCUUUUCUUUUCUCCCACCUUCUUAUUACUUACUUGCCAAGUAUAAUUUCUCUACCUCUGUCUUUCGAAGAGCCUCAUCAUGUAUACAAAGUAGUUUCACUGUGAAACUACUGUCAAACCAGAAGAGAAAAAGCUUGGGUAGAGCUAGGGUUUGGCUCUUAGAAAAGAUGGAAUGGAGCAUGGGAUUGUUGUUGUUGAUGAUGAUGGGUAUUUCUUUAAGAUUGUUAUGGUACAACAAGAUGAGGAUGAAGAUGAGGGAAAAUAUAGAAAAGAAUAAUCGUCGAGUACCAAAAGGGCACUUGGGUUGGCCUUCGAUUGGUGAAACUCUUGACUUCAUUGCUUCUGGUUACACCUCUCGACCUGUCAGUUUCAUGGACAAACGCAAGCUUCUGCAUGGGAAGGUGUUCAAAACACACUUAUUGGGAACACCCAUCAUUGUGUCAAAGGAUCCCGAUGUAAACAAGGUGGUUUUGCAGAACAUGGGCUACAUCUUCG